rnacentral:lncRNA from 1 species
AAAACAUAGGCCACAAGGCCGUACAAUCUUUCACGUAUACGACAUAUGUCUAGAAGCCUUUAAGAGUACAUAAAUAUCAUAAAGGUUGGGAUAGAGUCCCUACAUACCAAACAAUACACGUCUAAAUCAUACUAACCAAACAAGCAACUCCGAAGCAAAUGGAGCGCACCAAAAUCUUUCGCUGAGCUGAUAGCCUACUUGGAGGGCUCUCGACCUGUCUAUCGAGAUCUGCGGGCAUGAAACGUAGCGUCCCUAGGCAAAAGAGACUUCAGGACGAAUAAUGUACCUAGGAUGUAAGGCACAUAAAUAAGUACAUAAGAGAUAUGUAAGAAAUAUAGAGUACAUGACUUUCCUGUAAGUCUGAAUAACUUUGCAAAUCAUAAAUUACUUUUAGCGUCAUGCAUAUGCAUAUGUAUGUCAUGUCGUGCAUAGGUACAUGUUUCAUAACAUCAUCAGCCUCAGAGGGCAUCCCAUCAUAUCAUAUCGGCCACUGUGGGCAAAAUCAUCAUCGUAUACCAGCUGAUCAGGUGGUGCUGCGUAUAUAAUGCUAUAACCUUUUACAUAUCCCAUACACAUAUAUAUACAUAUAUAUAUAUAUAUAUAUACGUGUAUAUAACGCCAUUUGAAUCAUAUUUACAUAUAUACGCAUAUAUAAUGCUGUUUGAAUCAUAUUUCAGCCACUGUGGGCAAUAUCAUCAUCAUAUACCAGCUGAUCAGGUGGUGGUGCGUAUAUAACGCUGUAACCUUUUCCCAUAUCCCAUAUACAUAUAUAAGCGUAUAUAACGCCAUCUGGUCAUCGAUCAUUGCACAUGUAUGAAAUGCAUGAAAAGUACGUUAAUGAAAUCUUUCGAAAUUUCAUAAGGCCAUUUUGUCUUUGAGCAAUAUCAUAAAUUAAACUUUUUUUUUAACUUUUAUAUUUUUCUGAGACCCAUGAACAGAUGAUAAAAUAUUAUGACACAUAGAAAUUCAAGAACAUAGAUAUAUCUAAUACUUCUCUGAAUAUAGUCAUUUAUGGAAUUUGUGCAUUUGCACGUUUGGUUCGUAACGUAUGGAUCAUGCCAAAAGAAAGAAGGGAUAGCCUUAACAUACCUGUUCCCGGAGUCAUUUGAACGAAUCUGCUUCUGCGAAAUAUGGACGAAACUCUACUUUGAAACUCUCAAAAUUCAAAAACAACUUGGUAGCUCUUGAAAUUGAAACGUUGGCUAGCAUGGUGAACGAAAGAAAUGGUUCUGCUUUUUGGUUGAAAUCAAAAUUGGCUAACAUUGUAGCUCUUUCACGUUUUUGCUGGUUCUAAGGCAUAAUGCAUUGGCU